AACUGCGGUCAAGUGAGCCCUCACUUGAUUUUGUUGGUCUCGCAAACACUAAGGAUUACGGCAGAGGCGGCUGAGACUACUUUUCAAAAUAAAAGCACUGACUACUUUUACUUACAGAUGACAGAUGAUGUUCUUCAGAACUUAUUCAUCAAACUGCAUCUACAUCAUUUGUGUUUUAAAAAUAAAGGCAUUUAAAAAUCUCUA